rnacentral:rRNA from 1 species
UACGUAGGGGGCAAGCGUUAUCCGGAUAUACUGGGUGUAAAGGGAGCGUAGACGGUGAUGCAAGUCAGAAGUGAAAGCCCGGGGCUCAACCCCGUCGUGCCGUUGAAACUGACACCCUUGAGUGAGUGAGAAGUAAGCGGAAUGCGUGGUGUAGCGGUGAAAUGCAUAGAUAUCACGCAGAACGCCGAUUGCGAAGGCAGCUUACCGGCGCUCAACUGACGCUGAGGCACGAAAGUGCGGGUAUCGAACAGG